GACGAACGCUGGCGGCGUGCUUAACACAUGCAAGUCGAACGGGAUCCGGGCUUUCGGGUUUGGUGAGAGUGGCGAACGGGUGAGUAACACGUGAGUAACCUGCCCCCUUCUUUGGGAUAACGUCGGGAAAUCGGCGCUAAUACUGGAUAUUCUUGCUGCAUCGCAUGGUGUGGUUUGGAAAGGGUUUCUGGUGGGGGAUGGGCUCGCGGCCUAUCAGCUUGUUGGUGGGGUGAUGGCCUACCAAGGCUUUGACGGGUAGCCGGCCUGAGAGGGUGUCCGGCCACACUGGGACUGAGACACGGCCCAGACUCCUACGGGAGGCAGCAGUGGGGAAUAGUGCACAAUGGGCGCAAGCCUGAUGCAGCGACGCCGCGUGAGGGAUGACGGCCUUCGGGUUGUAAACCCCUUUCAGUAUGGAACAAGGAUCCUUCUUUUGGGGGGUUUGAGGGUACGUGCAGAAGAAGCGCCGGCUAACUACGUG
rnacentral:rRNA from 1 species